AGCGGGUUAGCACAACGGUUUGUGUACGUGGCUUUGACCCAUGUGAAGGUGGUUCGACUCCAUCACCCGCUG
rnacentral:tRNA from 1 species